UACGGGGGGAGCAAGCGUUGUUCGGAUUUACUGGGCGUAAAGGGCGCGUAGGCGGUUAGCACAAGUCAGUUGUGAAAUCUCCGGGCUUAACUCGGAAAGGUCAACUGAUACUGUGCGACUAGAGUGCAGAAGGGGCAACUGGAAUUCUCGGUGUAGCGGUGAAAUGCGUAGAUAUCGAGAGGAACACCUGCGGCGAAGGCGGGUUGCUGGGCUGACACUGACGCUGAUGCGCGAAAGCCAGGGGAGCGAACGGG
rnacentral:rRNA from 1 species